rnacentral:pre_miRNA from 1 species
UAUAACAUCAUUAGUUUUUUUAUACAAUGUUUUAACUCUUCGUUUUAUUUGAAAUUAUUUUGCGAUUAAUAUUUUUAUUUUUACUGGAUGAUAAAACAUAAAUAGUAGUUUAUGUGACUAAUUUUUUAAAGUUUUGUCAAAAUUUUUAAAUAAGACGAAUGGUCAAAGGGUUGGACACAUAAAUCAAAAAAUAAAGUUAUU